CCAGAAUGAGAUAUAUAUACUAUCCGGAAGGGUCAAAAGUGUUACUCAAAUGUUUACAUGAUAUGGAAUGGUUUGGACCGGCGAACUCUAACUCGUUUUAUCAAUCAACAAUGAUUGAUAUGUAUGAAAAUCGUAGUUUGUGGACAAUUAAUCGUUAUACAGAAGGGAAAUCUAUUUCUCCUACCCUGCCUCAUCACAAUCGGUUAAAAGUCAUAAGAAAAAUACAAACAGGAGAUUAUGAACGAGAUUAUGAACUUCAGAUUAGUAAUGCUUCCGUUUUGGAUGAAGGUCUUUACUUUUGCGAGGAUUCUGAGAUGCCUGCUGUUCCCGAUUAUUAUAUUCUUCAACUGAUAAAUAGAACAACGGUUUCAAGCAUGCAUGAUAUGAUUGAAGAAAUAAAUGAAGGUGAAACAAAGAAACUUUGUUGUAAUCUUGAUAGCAAUUCAACACUAACAUCAAUGAAGUGGCUAAAAGGAAAUAUGACAGUGUUGGUAACACAAAAUGUUAACGAAACUUGUUACAUAAUCAAAAGCGUCACUCGAUACGAUCAAGGAAACUACACAUGUAUAGCCGAGAAUGUAAUUGGAAGUGGAUCAGUAACUGUUGUUCUUAAAGUGAAAUAUAAACCAGAGGUUUCAAUCAAGCAGGAUUUGAUAGAAAAUACAAAUGAAGGUGAAACGAAGAAACUUUGUUGUUGAAUUGAAAGCUAUCCAACACCAACAUUAACGAGAUGGUUGAAUGGGAGUCUUGAAAUAUUUGUUGCAUAUAAUAAAACAGACAUUUGCUAUACAGUUAACAAUGUCAGUCGAUACGACCAAGGAAUAUAUACAUGUAGAGCGGAGAAUAUCGUUGGAAUUGGAUCAAUAACGACUGUUCUUCAAGUAAAAUAUAAACCAUUGGUUUCAAGUAUGCAGGAUUUGAUUGAAGAAAUAAGUGAAGGUGAAAAGAAGAAACUUUGUUGUUUUGUUGAUAGCAAUCCAACACCAACAUCAACGAGAUGGUUGAAAGGAAUCAAGGAAAUAUCGGUUACGCAUAAUGUUAACAAAACUUGUUACACAUUCAAAAGCGUCAAUCGAUACGACAGUGGAAACUACACAUGGAUAGCAGAGAAUAUCCUUGGAAUUGGAUCAAUUACUAUUGUUCUUAAAGUAAAUUGUAAGUGCAUUAUUACUUUACGAAAAAUUAACAAAUUGACAUUGACAUUCAAAAAAAGUAGCAUGACAAAAUAUUACACAUGACCAAAACAUAAAUAUUGUAUAGAAAAGCUUUUAACGUAAUUCUGCUCUUUAAAUGACUUCCAAACUUGGCUUUGAAGAAUUGGUUUACUUUCAUAUUUGUACAUACAUGCAUAGAAUCCGUGUAAAAAAAAAAGAAAAAAAAAAAAAAGAAAAUGUGGUAAGAAUUCCAAUGAGACAGCUAACCAACAGACACAAUAUAACGUAGCAACUAUAGGCCACCAUGUGGCCUUCAACAAUAAAGAAAACCGAAACCUCAAAGCAAGCCAUAAAAGGCACCAACAUGACAAAUGUAAAAAAAAAAAAAACUCAAACGAGAAAACUAACGGCCUGAUAAUCAGCAACAAACGACAACCCCUGAAUAACAGGCUCCUGAAGUGAGACAAGCACAUACAAAAUGUAGCAGUGUUAAAACAAUUAAUUUUUCAAAAGAUCAUUUUAAGGUAAAUGCGUAUUCGCUUAAUGUUUCUAAAAAGCCAUGAUAUGGUGUUUUUUCAGUUUUAUAGAAUUAGAAUUGCGGGUUUG